rnacentral:rRNA from 1 species
CGCCUGCCGGCGACCGGCGCACGGGUGAGUAACACGUAUGCAACCUGCCCCUGUCAGGGGGACAACCCGCCGAAAGGCGGGCUAAACCCGCGUACAUGCCACCGGGGCAUCCCGGAGGCAGGAAAGGCUUCGGCCGGACAGGGAUGGGCAUGCGGCGCAUUAGGCAGUAGGCGGGGUAACGGCCCACCGUGGCGACGAUGCGUAGGGGUUCUGAGAGGAAGGCCCCCACACUGGAACUGAGACACGGUCCAGACUCCUACGGGAGGCAGCAG